CAACAGGAAUCCAAGUGAUGCACGUAGUUGAGGCCUUGGCUGAGAAGUAUCCAUGCCUCAAAGAGCCAGGCUCAUUCAAUGGCAUGUAUGGAUGGCAACAAAGAAUCAAGUAUAAAAUGGCCAAUUAUCGGGCAAAAGUAAGAGGGCUCCAAAUUGCCUGUCCAGAGCUAGAGGUGAACUCUUCAAGAAAGAUGACUUCCCGUCCCAAAGGCCUCAAAAGACCCAAAAAGGCUGAAGUAAAUUAUUUGCCGCCAUUGCCACAUGGAGAAACAAAAGAAACAAUGGAAGAAGAGAGGGUGGUUCUACUCACAGAAGUGAAAAAGACCAACAACAACAAGAUUAUCAGUGAGAAAAUGGAGAAGACCUUUCCAUAUCGGCGGUUGGAGGUUGUCAACCAGAUGCCUGCUGUCCCAGAUGUCAUGGAGAGAUGGCCUGCCCUUUUCUACGAAUCUCAGGUAAACGUGAACGCUUGUGCCAAACUUUCAUGGCAGUUAGUAGGUCAUUAGAUAUUUUGAAGUAAAAUCAUUUGGAGGGUCUUAAAUCCAUUGAUGUAGCUUUUAAAUGUAUAUACACACAAUUAUAUGAAAUCAACUGGUACAUAAAUACAAUAAUAAGUAGAAGUUAAAAUAUGAGCUUGUAAAAACAUUCACAUAAUAUGUGCCAUUUUAAAGCUUUUUCAUUUCAAUGUGUGUGCCUUUGUGUUGUGUGCUUUGUGUCUUUGUUUGUUUGUUUUUUAGGUGAAGGAGUUCAACAGGAUCACAACUAUCAACCUGGACCGAACCUUUUUGAUGGAUUUCUACACUCCAAAACUCCUGACUGUUUUCAAGACAAAGGGUGGGACUUCAGGCACAAAAAUAAAAAGUGUGUUGGAGUCACUCAAUCAGCAACAGAUCGAUAGCCAUGAUGCGGUCAUCCGUUGUCUGAUCCAUUUCCUGGGAGAAUCGACAGAGGAGCUCAUUAAGGACUACCAGGAUGUUUCCAAGGAUGUCAUCGAACAAGACAUCAAAGACGGUGUGAUCAAGAUCCUUGUGCUGGGCAGUGCUGCAGAGGGUGCCCCCCCAACUGAUGUCAUCAUUGUGGUUGAUGGUACAGAGGUAUUGGGUGGUUGUAAAACACUCACCAAUGCUUGCAUUCUGCUCAUGGGCUUUGUGUACUCACUGAAUCUCAGUUAUCCUCCAAAAUUGAAAUACACAUUUGAAGUGUUUCAAAAGUUGCUUUUGGAGUUGGAUGAUUUAAAGUUCUCCCCCAAAGUGGAUUCUCUGAGAAGGAAACUGUUACAGUAAAAGGGAAAUGUGAC